rnacentral:rRNA from 1 species
UACGAGGGGGGCGAGCGUUGUUCGGAAUUAUUGGGCGUAAAGGGUGCGUAGGCGGUUUGGUAAGUCUCUUGUGAAAUCUAUGGGCUCAACUCAUAGUCUGCAAGGGAAACUGCCGGGCUUGAGUGUGGGAGAGGUGAGUGGAAUUUCCGGUGUAGCGGUGGAAUGCGUAGAUAUCGGAAGGAACACCUGUGGCGAAAGCGGCUCACUGGACCACAACUGACGCUGAUGCACGAAAGCCAGGGGAGCGAACGGG